rnacentral:rRNA from 1 species
AGAUUGAACGCUGGCGGCAUGCCUUACACAUGCAAGUCGAACGGCAGCACGGGAGCAAUCCUGGUGGCGAGUGGCGAACGGGUGAGUAAUACAUCGGAACGUGCCCAAUCGUGUGGGAUAACGCAGCGAAAGCUGUGCUAAUACCGCAUAAGAUCUACGGAUGAAAGCAGGGGAUCGCAAGACCUUGCGCGAAUGGAGCGGCCGAUGGCAGAUUAGGUAGUUGGUGAGGUAAAGGCGUCACCAAGCCUUCGAUCUGUAGCUGGUCUGAGAGGACGACCAGCCACACUGGGACUGAGACACGGCCCAGACUCCGUACGGAGGCAGCAGUGGGGUAAUUUUGGACAAGUGGGACGAAAGCCUGACUCCACGCCAUCGCCGCGUGCGAGGA